GGUGACUGGGCUGGCCAAUCCUGCAGCAGCUUGACCUUCAGGAGCUUUGAUGUGGAGGCUGAAGUAUGAGAAGGUGGUGCUAUCCUCACGGCGGUUUGAUUAAAUCAUAUUCAUUUGUACAUCUCAUUCAUACAAUUUAGCCUGAUUAGCUCCUCCCCUAAUGAGGGUUGGUGUUCAGGGGUGGGGUUUGGGGCCACGCCUCCUUUUAAAAGUCCUACAUUUCCACACUACUGAACUGGUGUGAAUGGCUCAGAAUCAGCCGCUGAAGAGACCCGCAGUUGCAUUUGCACGGUGAGGUCAGGCUGUUGUUCUGCUGAUGUGUGCUGUGUGAAGUGAGGAUUUCAGGAUAUUUCACCCUACAGAAAUACCCAUAAUGCUCUGCUCCACUGCACACACACCCUGCGCCCAGUCUUGACUGUACAGGUGUGAAACUCAAGACAGCAUGAACAUGUUUACCUGCGCUGCAGAAGCUGAUGUGCUGCAUCUAUUUAAACAUGUCCUCCGUCUGAACUCCAACACACACACACACACACACACACACACACACACACACACACACACACACACACACACACACACACACUCACGUCAGCCAACCGGCACUAACCAUAAACUCAUGAAUAUAUGUGAGCGUAACACUACAGUUCAACAACGAGGACUGCAGAAUGAUGAUGAUGAUGAUUGUAUUGUCUGUUCUCUUAUUCCUUGCAUAGCCCUCUAAGAAAAAGUCAAUUGGAUUGGAUUUCUUACUCCUAAUGUCGCUAGUUAACACACUCAAUGCAUUUUGUCCAACACAUCCCAUAAUUCCUGAAAUAUCCACCUCUACCAAAUGUCGGUUUAUGGUAAAAGUACUGGAAUAAAUACAUAUCAGU